UAAAGUGGUACGCGAGCUGGGUUCAGAACGUCGUGAGACAGUUCGGUCCCUAUCCGUCGCAGGCGUAGGAAAUUUGAGAAGACCUGUCCUUAGUACGAGAGGACCGGGAUGGACGUACCUCUGGUGUACCAGUUGUCCUGCCAAGGGCAUGGCUGGGUAGCUAUGUACGGAAUGGAUAAGCGCUGAAAGCAUCUAAGCGCGAAGCCAACUUCAAGAUAAGAUUUCCCACCGCAAGGGUAAGACCCCAGAAAGACUAUCUGGUUGAUAGGUCGAAGGUGUAAGUGCAGCAAUGUAUUUAGCUUAUCGAUACUAAUAGGUCGAGGACUUGACCAAU
rnacentral:rRNA from 1 species